AGAGUUUGAUCCUGGCUCAGGAUGAACGCUGGCGGCGUGCUUGAUACAUGCAAGUCGAACGGAGAGUGUAGCAAUAUACUUUUAGUGGCGAACGGGUGAGUAACGCGUUGGUGACCUGCCCCGAAGCGAGGGAUAACAGUUCGAAAGAACUGCUAAUACCUCAUGUGAUCACCGGCUUUAGAAUCUGGUGAUUAAAGGUGAAAAUCACUUCGGGAGGGGCCUGCGUCCCAUCAGCUAGUUGGUAAGGUAAUGGCUUACCAAGGCGAUGACGGGUAGGGGACCUGAGAGGGUGGCCCCCCACAAUGGAACUGAAACACGGUCCAUACACCUACGGGUGGCAGCAGUAGGGAAUAUUGCACAAUGGGCGCAAGCCUGAUGCAGCAACGCCGCGUGAGUGAUGAAGGCCUUCGGGUCGUAAAACUCUGUCCUAAGGGAAGAUAAUGACGGUACCUUAGGAGGAAGCCCCGGCUAACUACGUGCCAGCAGCCGCGGUAAUACGUAGGGUGCGAGCGUUAAUCGGAAUUACUGGGCGUAAAGCGUGCGCAGGCGGUUUUUUAAGACAGGCGUGAAAUCCCCGGGCUCAACCUGGGAACUGCGCUUGUGACUGCUAAGCUAGAGUACGGCAGAGGGGGGUGGAAUUCCACGUGUAGCAGUGAAAUGCGUAGAGAUGUGGAGGAACACCGAUGGCGAAGGCAGCCCCCUGGGCCGAUACUGACGCUCAUGCACGAAAGCGUGGGUAGCAAACAGGAUUAGAUACCCUGGUAGUCCACGCCCUAAACGAUGUCAACUAGGUGUUGGGAGGGUAAAACCUUUUAGUACCGGAGCUAACGCGUGAAGUUGACCGCCUGGGGAGUACGGCCGCAAGGUUAAAACUCAAAGGAAUUGACGGGCCCCGCACAAGCAGCGGAGCGUGUGGUUUAAUUCGAUGUUACACGAAGAACCUUACCAGGGUUUGACAUGCAAGUGGUAGGAAACCGAAAGNCGACCGACCCCUCGGGGAGCUUGCACAGGUGCUGCAUGGCUGUCGUCAGCUCGUGUCGUGAGAUGUUCGGUUAAGUCCGCUAACGAGCGCAACCCUCGUCGUGUGUUACAUGUGUCACGCGAGACCGCCGGUCUUAAGCCGGAGGAAGGUGGGGAUGACGUCAAGUCAGCAUGGCCUUUAUGUCCUGGGCUACACACACGCUACAAUGGCAAGUACAAUAGGUCGCGAAACCGCGAGGUGGAGCCAAUCCUCAAAGCUUGCCUCAGUUCAGAUUGUAGUCUGCAACUCGACUGCAUGAAGAUGGAGUUGCUAGUAACCGCAGGUCAGCUAUACUGCGGUGAAUACGUUCCCGGGGCUUGUACACACCGCCCGUCACGUCAUGGGAGCUGGCAACACCUGAAGCCGGUAUCCUAACCCGCAAGGGAGGGAGCCGUCGAAGGUGGGGUCGGUGACUGGGACGAAGUCGUAACAAGGUAGGUGUACCGGAAGGUGCGGCUGGAUCACCUCCUU
rnacentral:rRNA from 1 species